GGUUAAGUGACUAAGCGUACAUGGUGGAUGCCUUGGCAGUCAGAGGCGAUGAAGGACGUACUAACCUGCGAUAAGCUGUGAGAAGUCGGUAAGAGACGCUAUUACUCACAGAUUUCCGAAUGGGGAAACCCACCCAAGAUAACUUGGGUAUCGUUACAUGAAUACAUAGUGUAACGAGGCGAACCGGGAGAACUGAAACAUCUAAGUACCCCGAGGAAAAGAAAUCAACCGAGAUUCCCUCAGUAGCGGCGAGCGAACGGGGAUUAGCCCUUAAGCAUCUUGGAAGUUAGUGGAACGGUCCUGGAAAGGCCGGCGAUACAGGGUGAUAGCCCCGUACACGAAAACAACCUUGAUGUGAAAUCGAGUAGGGCGGGACACGUGACAUCCUGUCUGAAUAUGGGGGGACCAUCCUCCAAGGCUAAAUACUCCUGACUGACCGAUAGUGAACCAGUACCGUGAGGGAAAGGCGAAAAGAACCCCUGUGAGGGGAGUGAAAUAGAACCUGAAACCGUGUACGUACAAGCAGUGGGAGCCCUUCGGGGUGACUGCGUACCUUUUGUAUAAUGGGUCAGCGACUUACAUUUUGUAGCGAGGUUAACCGUAUAGGGGAGCCGUAGGGAAACCGAGUCUUAACUGGGCGUCUAGUUGCAAGGUGUAGACCCGAAACCGGGUGAUCUAGCCAUGGGCAGGUUGAAGGUUGAGUAACAUCAACUGGAGGACCGAACCCACUAACGUUGCAAAGUUAGGGGAUGACCUGUGGCUGGGGGUGAAAGGCCAAUCAAACUCGGAGAUAGCUGGUUCUCCCCGAAAGCUAUUUAGGUAGCGCCUCGGACGAAUACUACUGGGGGUAGAGCACUGUUUGGGCUAGGGGGUCAUCCCGACUUACCAACCCCAUGCAAACUCCGAAUACCAGUAAGUAAUAUCCGGGAGACACACGGCGGGUGCUAACGUCCGUCGUGAAGAGGGAAACAACCCAGACCGCCGGCUAAGGUCCCAAAGUUCUGGUUAAGUGGGAAACGAUGUGGGAAGGCUCAGACAGCUAGGAUGUUGGCUUAGAAGCAGCCAUCAUUUAAAGAAAGCGUAAUAGCUCACUAGUCGAGUCGGCCUGCGCGGAAGAUGUAACGGGGCUCAAACCAGGCACCGAAGCCGCGGAUUCACGCUAAGCGUGAGUGGUAGGGGAGCGUUCUGUAAGUCUGCGAAGGUGUAUCGAGAGGUAUGCUGGAGAUAUCAGAAGUGCGAAUGCUGACGUAAGUAACGAUAAAGGGGGUGAAAAGCCUCCUCGCCGGAAGACCAAGGGUUCCUGUCCAACGUUAAUCGGGGCAGGGUGAGUCGACCCCUAAGGCGAGGCCGAAAGGCGUAGUCGAUGGGAAGCAGGUUAAUAUUCCUGCACGACUUGUAAUUGCGAUGGGGGGACGGAGAAGGCUAGGUGGGCCAGGCGACGGUUGUCCUGGUGAAAGUGCGUAGGUGGUGUUUCUAGGCAAAUCCGGAGACACAACACUGAGACACGAGACGAACACACUACGGUGUGGAAGCCAUUGAUGCCCUGCUUCCAGGAAAAGCCUCUAAGCUUCAGAUUACAAGUCAUCGUACCCCAAACCGACACAGGUGGUCGGGUAGAGAAUACCAAGGCGCUUGAGAGAACUCGGGUGAAGGAACUAGGCAAAAUAGAACCGUAACUUCGGGAGAAGGUUCGCUCUUGAUGGUGAAGUCCCUUGCGGAUGGAGCUGUCGGGAGUCGCAGUGACCAGAUGGCUGGGACUGUUUAUCAAAAACACAGCACUCUGCAAACACGAAAGUGGACGUAUAGGGUGUGACACCUGCCCGGUGCCGGAAGGUUAAUUGAUGGGGUUAGCGCAAGCGAAGCUCUUGAUCGAAGCCCCGGUAAACGGCGGCCGUAACUAUAACGGUCCUAAGGUAGCGAAAUUCCUUGUCGGGUAAGUUCCGACCUGCACGAAUGGUGUAACCAUGGCCAUGCUGUCUCCACCCGAGACUCAGUGAAAUCGAAUUCGCCGUGAAGAUGCGGUGUACCCGCGGCUAGACGGAAAGACCCCGUGAACCUUUACUACAGCUUGGCACUGAACAUUGAACCUACAUGUGUAGGAUAGGUGGGAGGCUUUGAAGGCGUGACGCCAGUUGCGCUGGAGCCGUCCUUGAAAUACCACCCUUGUAUGUUUGAUGUUCUAACGCAGGGCCCUGAAUCGGGCUCGCGGACAGUGCCUGGUGGGUAGUUUGACUGGGGCGGUCUCCUCCCAAAGAGUAACGGAGGAGCACGAAGGUUGGCUAAUCCUGGUCGGACAUCAGGAGGUUAGUGCAAUGGCAUAAGCCAGCUUAACUGCGAGACGGACAGGUCGAGCAGGUACGAAAGUAGGUCAUAGUGAUCCGGUGGUUCUGAAUGGAAGGGCCAUCGCUCAACGGAUAAAAGGUACUCCGGGGAUAACAGGCUGAUACCGCCCAAGAGUUCAUAUCGACGGCGGUGUUUGGCACCUCGAUGUCGGCUCAUCACAUCCUGGGGCUGAAGUCGGUCCCAAGGGUAUGGCUGUUCGCCAUUUAAAGUGGUACGCGAGCUGGGUUCAGAACGUCGUGAGACAGUUCGGUCCCUAUCUGCCGUGGGCGUUGGAUGAUUGAAGGGAGUUGCUCCUAGUACGAGAGGACCGGAGUGAACGAACCUCUGGUGUUCGGGUUGUCACGCCAGUGGCACUGCCCGGUAGCUAAGUUCGGAAUCGAUAACCGCUGAAAGCAUCUAAGCGGGAAGCGAGCCCUGAGAUGAGUCAUCCCUGACCCCUUGAGGGUCCUAAAGGGCCGUUGGAGACCACAACGUUGAUAGGCGGGGUGUGUAAGUGCAGCGAUGCAUUGAGCUAACCCGUACUAAUUACCCGUGAGGCUUAACCAU
rnacentral:rRNA from 1 species